rnacentral:rRNA from 1 species
GACGAACGCUGGCGGCGUGCCUAAUACAUGCAAGUCAACUGAAGCAGCGGUAGCAAUAUUGCUGCGGAGGUGGCGCACGGGUGAGUAACACGUAGGUAAUCUGCCUUCAGGACUGACACAACUCCGAGAAAUCGGAGCUAAUAUCAGAUAAUGCAGCGGCUUGACAUCAAGACAGUUGUUAAAGCUUCGGUGCCUGGAGAUGAGCCUGCGCCCCAUUAGGUAGUUGGCGGAGUAAAAGCCCACCAAGCCUGCGAUGGGUAGCUGGUCUGAGAGGAUGAUCAGCCACACUGGAACUGAGACACGGUCCAGACUCCUACGGGUGGCUG